GUGAAUCAUCAAAUUUUUGAACGCAAAUUGCACUCUCCGGUUUUCCGGGAGAGUAUGCCUGUUUGAGGGUCAGCCUAAAAAAAAUGGACAUGGUUGCUGUUUGAGGGUGACUUUCGUCGGAGAUGGGUAAUCUUAAAGCUCGGUUUAAGCGACUUAAAAAUUUUUUGUACGAUUCUAAGAAUGUUUCUAAGAUUUUUCUGGUAGGUUAAAGUUAUCGAUUUUCUUAGUAGACUUGGCCGUCAU
rnacentral:misc_RNA from 1 species